rnacentral:tRNA from 1 species
UGGGGAGUAGCCAAGUGGCAAGGCAACGGGCUCUGAACCCGUCAUCGGGGGUUCGAAUCCCUCCUCCCCAGCCA